GUCUAUGGCCAUGCCACCCUGAAUAAGUUUGAUCCUGUCUGAUCUCUGAAGCUAAGAGGGUUGGGCCUGGUUAGUACUUGGAUGGGAAGCUACCUAGGAAGACCAGGCGCUGUAUGCG
rnacentral:rRNA from 1 species